UUCCCCAAAGUUUCUGAAAGAGGGAACAACCCUCUGAAGUUUUUUUUAAAUAAAGAGGGAACACCCCCGAGGUUUUUAAAAGUGGGGAAACCCGCUCUGAAGUUUUCAAAUAAGGAGGGAACACCCCCGAGGUUUUUAAACUGACAGGGGACAGGCGAAGUUGUCGAAGAGACGAAAUGAUGUGAGUGCGGACUCCCAGCUCUCUCCCUUACCCCGCCAUGGCCGCGCUGGCGAGCAGCGACAGCAAACACAGCGCAUUCCUCACAGGGCCCUCCGACACCUUCCCUCUCGCAGGCUGCUCCCUCGGACCGUCGCUCUGCUUGCCACCGGCCACGUUCUUCUUCCUCUGCUUCACUUCACUGGACAUCUUCUCAACACCACCAGUGCCUCCCCCGGGCCCGGGCGUUCGCCAAUUUCUGACCUAAUUCCGGCAACCCAGCGGCGAUCUCCGCCCUCCCUUUCCAAACCCGGACGCGCGUACGCUGAACACAAACCAGUCAGUUCUGCCCUUUUAGUUUUUGUCUCUCAAAAGGGUUUCCUUUGAGUCAACACGAUCUAACAUCUUGCACGUUGAGGUGCCAGAGCACGGGAGAACUGCCAGUCUGCAGGGAACGUGGGGCAAUGGGAUUUUCGGUGGACCUCCAGUUCCCAGGCAGUUUUCUGGGGAGCUGGUUUGACUCUCGCCAAGAUUCAGCCGUUGUCUAGAAUUAAUAAUGACAAUGGCACAACAUCCAUCUGGAUCACUACUAUUCAUCCUGACUCUUAGCUGCCCGCAUGAAAUGGUACGAUUUAGCCUGAAGUCUAGAUUAGGUUAGAUUCCCUACAGUGUGAAAACAGGCCCUUCGGCCCAACCAGUCCUCACCGACUCUCCCAAGAGUAACUAGACCCAUUUUCCUCUGACUAAUGCACUUAACACUGUGGCCAGUUUAGCAUGGCCAGUUCACCAGACCUGCACAUCUUUGGACUGUGGGAGGAAACUGGAGCACCCAGAGGAAACCCAUGCAGACUCAGGGAGAAUGUGCAAACUCCACACAGUCGCCCAAGACUGGAUUUGAACCUGGGACCCUGGUGCUGUGAGGCAGCAGUGCUAACCACUGAGCCACUAUGCUGCCCUAAGAAGGGAAUUAAUUGACCUCUCCCCCUUAUAAGAAUAACCAAAACCUAAAACAAAAUAAAGAACUGGGUAUUCCAGAGAUCUGAAACAAAAGCAAACAUUCUUGGAGAAACUCAGCAGCUCUGGCAGAAUUUGUGGGAAGAAUGCAGAGUUAAUUUUGGAGUCCAAUGACUCUUCAUUCUUAAGCCAACUGAGCCUGCAACAGUCCUCAACUGUUUUUGGAACACUUUAUCUCAAAUUAGUCAAGCAACAGUCUGACAAUUAUACCCAGGAAAUCAUAUCCACCGCACAGUGUCCUAGCCAUUUUCAUUGCAAAGGUGGUGGCACAGUGAUGUACAAUCUGGAGGGAGUUUCCUGGAAGUCUUCGACAUUGAAGUCGCAUGGCAAUAUGUCAAAUAGGUGCAAUGAAAGCACUUGCUGAAUACCUCAUACCACCCUUCCUCAGCUGAUAAAUCAGUGCUUCUUCAUGUUAAACACUACCUGGAUGAAGCACAGAAGUGGUAUGAGAGCAGAAUAUACUCUGGUUGGGAGACUUCAAUGUUGACCAAAAAGAGUGGCUCAGCAGAGCCACCGCUGACUGAGCUGGUUGAGUCCUAAAAAUAUAGCUGCUUGACUGAGAUUACAACAGGAAUUGAGGACAAUCCUGUGGAGAAUGAAGGAUCACACUUCAAUAUUUCUGCUUCUGUCCAUUAAUACAGCUGUCCAUGACAGCAUUAUGACUGCUGUACAGUCUUUUGUGGAGCCAAUAUCCUUUCUUCCUAUUGAAGAUAUCCUGCACCAUGAUUGUGGCUCUAAAAGAGCGAUGAGGAGAGAGGGUGGAGAGAACCGAAGGCUGCUGGGAAGGCUGCUACCAGACCCACUGAGUAGAAUCAUACAAUCGCUACAGUGCAGAAAGUGACAAUUCAGCCUAUCGAGUCUGCAUCAAUCCUCCAAAGAGCAUCUCACUCAGACACACUCUGUCCCCAUAACCCCACAUUGUACUAUGGUUAACCCACCUAACCUGCACAUCCCUGGACAGGGCAGUUUACCAUGGCCAAUAGACCUCACUUGCACUGUGAGAGGAAACAGGAGCACCUGGAGGAAACCCACACAAUACUUGGAGAAUGUACAAACUCUACACAGGCAGUCACCCAAUGCAGGAAUCAAACCCAGGCCCCUGGUAUUGUGAGGCAGUAGUUCAGAAUAAAAGGAAAGUAAUUCAGUGACAAAAAUAACAAUACUGUAAGGCAAAAAAGUGUGGUACAGAAAUAAACAUGAAUUUAGAGGUGGUGUAAAUGGGGAUUACAGAAACAUUAUUAGUAUUGGCUGCCUGAGGAAAUGGAAGCAAUGGGUUCUGAAACUCUUCAACUCAAUGUUGUUUCCAGAGGACUGCAAAGUGCCCUGUGAAAUGUGAGGGCCUUUUCUUCAGGGGUUCUGUUGAAUUUUAUUUUAACACCCUAGGAGGCCAAGAACAGUGAAAUCAGAGUGAAAUGGGAUAGAGCUUCACCUUUUUCUGUGGCCAAGGAAAUAAGAAACUAAAUAACAUCACAAUUCUUAUGCUUGUGUUCAUCUGUACAUUUAUGUAAAGGAAAGAGAAAGUAAAGUCUCGGAAAGCAAUAUAACCCAAAAAAUUGGCAUAGGUUGGCUCUGAGGCAAUAAUCCCAAGAAAACUCCAUAUCUGAUUUUUGAUCUAUGUGAAUAAUUUUAUGCAUGAACAUUUUGUACAUUUUGGACAAGCUUACUUAGCUACUGAACAAAUUGUUCACCAUCCUACUUCCUCUUCUGUACUCCAUAUUAGUUAAUGUUAUGAAGUAUGUAUUUUCCUGAAGGACUGGUUUUCAAAUCUGCCAUCAUCAGGUAUCAGGAUAAAAUACCUUUUACUCCUCUGACCUUGCAAACUGUUGCCUCACCCUUAACCUCUCUUUCAUCUCCAAAAUGUUUGAACAUGUUUCAAAUAACUCCACAGAGGCCACUAUGUCAUCACCAAGUCACCCUUUAUUUACACAUGGAGAGGCCUUGACACUGAUCCGGCUCUGAUAGUGAAAAGAUGUCUGACAUUCCUGUUCUUAUCUGUCAGCCCGGACUCCCUGAUUGUAGUUGAUAAUCUGGUCCAAUAAAGGAAAUCCUAUUCUAUGAGGACCACCUAGCUGACCUUGUUACAAUCACUACAAUAUUUUUGCCUGUGUAGCUGUGUAUUUUUCAGGUUGGAGGAGCUGUAUGCAGACAGAUUGCUUAGCAUUUGGUAAAGUUAUAAUUGACUUUGUGGAAUCGAGUAAUGACACCUGACAUGGGAUUAACUUCUCAAUCAUGUUGACUUCCCUGGUGACCUUAAUCACUCAUUUGACACCAAAUUGCGCAGGCCAAAACCAUCUUUUUGCAUAUAAAAACACUCAUCAAAUAGUUUUUAAAAAAUCAUUACAAUCCUAAAAUGAGAUAGAAAUUCUCACAGUUUAACAAUA